rnacentral:lncRNA from 1 species
AAAUACCGACUCUAGUUUGAGAGGCGUCCAUCCAAAGAUUUUGCACACCCCUGCAAUUGAGAUCAUCGAAAUCUUUUCCACCCCCAAAAAAUCCGAUGAUUGAAGUGUUUUUCAUCCCCAGAAAUCGCGAUUAGUUUUGGUGUCUCCCGAUAAAAUCAUAAACGACGUAAGUAAAACUGACGGCCGAUAUAUGACGGUGGCAACUAAUCGGAAAAGAUACUGAGCGGUCGUGUAAGUUUAGGAAUUACAGACAUCGAUUUGCCUCAUAACUUGCCUCAUAAUAGAGUCAAUUUCUCGCGUGCACUGGAUCAAUUAGAAUUUUUUUUUUUGCAGAAGUUGUCAUUAAUUAAUUUUCUAUUUAUUGCUUUUUUUUUCAUGUUUAAUACCCGAAACAUGUCUCCUUUGUUGAACUCUCUUUAGCAAGAAUGGCAUCUGAAACUGUAUUUUUCUUCUUCUUUUUUUUGGUUUUAGUUUUUUCUUCUCUGAGGAAUUUCGUCAAACAGGUAGCAGGCCUGAAAUAUAUCUAAGCUCUUUUCAACUCAAAUGUAAGAUAACACACAAAAAUAUGUUAAUCAUCCAAAUCCUUUCCCCCAGUGCUUUGCAAUUGUGUUCUUACGAUUUUGCUGUCAACGAUGCAAUUAUCAAAUAAAAUCAAUUACACCCAUUGCACAAACAAAUUCGCCAUUUAAUU